GAUGAACGCUGGCGGCGUGCCUAAUACAUGCAAGUCGAGCGAACAGAUAAGGAGCUUGCUCCUUUGACGUUAGCGGCGGACGGGUGAGUAACACGUGGGUAACCUACCUAUAAGACUGGAAUAACUCCGGGAAACCGGGGCUAAUGCCGGAUAACAUUUAGAACCGCAUGGUUCUAAAGUGAAAGAUGGUUUUGCUAUCACUUAUAGAUGGACCCGCGCCGUAUUAGCUAGUUGGUAAGGUAACGGCUUACCAAGGCAACGAUACGUAGCCGACCUGAGAGGGUGAUCGGCCACACUGGAACUGAGACACGGUCCAGACUCCUACGGGAGGCAGCAGUAGGGGAUCUUCCGCAAUGGGCGAAAGCCUGACGGAGCAACGCCGCGUGAGUGAUGAAGGUCUUCGGAUCGUAAAACUCUGUUAUUAGGGAAGAACAAAUGUGUAAGUAACUGUGCACGUCUUGACGGUACCUAAUCAGAAAGCCACGGCUAACUACGUG
rnacentral:rRNA from 1 species